UACGUAGGUGGCAAGCGUUGUCCGGAAUUACUGGGCGUAAAGCGUGCGCAGGCGGCUUUGCAAGACAGAUGUGAAAUCCCCGGGCUCAACCUGGGAACUGCAUUUGUGACUGCAAGGCUAGAGUACGGUAGAGGGGGAUGGAAUUCCGCGUGUAGCAGUGAAAUGCGUAGAUAUGCGGAGGAACACCGAUGGCGAAGGCAAUCCCCUGGACCUGUACUGACGCUCAUGCACGAAAGCGUGGGGAGCAAACAGG
rnacentral:rRNA from 1 species